AUCGACCUACGGGACGCAGCAGUGAGGAAUAUUGGUCAAUGGUCGGGAGACUGAACCAGCCAAGCCGCGUGAGGGAGGGAGGUACAGGGUAUCGUAAACCUCUUUUGUCAGGGAACAAAGACUGGGACGCGUCCCCGGAUGAGUGUACCUGAAGAAAAAGCAUCGGCUAACUCCGUGCCAGCAGCCGCGGUAAUACGGAGGAUGCGAGCGUUAUCCGGAUUUAUUGGGUUUAAAGGGUGCGCAGGCGGUCUGUUAAGUCAGCGGUCAAAGCCCGGGGCUCAACCCCGGCCCGCCGUUGAAACUGG
rnacentral:rRNA from 1 species